UUCCGUUAAUUGAUCAGGACGUGCUUGCACUGAAUGAGAUUUUAACACGAAGUGAGUGGCGGACGGGUGAGUAACACGUGGGUAACCUGCCCAGAAGCAGGGGAUAACACCUGGAAACAGAUGCUAAUACCGUAUAACAGAGAAAACCGCCUGGUUUUCUUUUAAAAGAUGGCUCUGCUAUCACUUCUGGAUGGACCCGCGGCGCAUUAGCUAGUUGGUGAGGUAACGGCUCACCAAGGCGAUGAUGCGUAGCCGACCUGAGAGGGUAAUCGGCCACAUUGGGACUGAGACACGGCCCAGACUCCUACGGGAGGCAGCAGUAGGGAAUCUUCCACAAUGGACGCAAGUCUGAUGGAGCAACGCCGCGUGAGUGAAGAAGGGUUUCGGCUCGUAAAGCUCUGUUGUUAAAGAAGAACGUGGGUGAGAGUAACUGUUCACCCAGUGACGGUAUUUAACCAGAAAGCCACGGCUAACUACGUGCCAGCAGCCGCGGUAAUACGUAGGUGGCAAGCGUUAUCCGGAUUUAUUGGGCGUAAAGCGAGCGCAGGCGGUCUUUUAAGUCUAAUGUGAAAGCCUUCGGCUCAACCGAAGAAGUGCAUUGGAAACUGGGAGACUUGAGUGCAGAAGAGGACAGUGGAACUCCAUGUGUAGCGGUGAAAUGCGUAGAUAUAUGGAAGAACACCAGUGGCGAAGGCGGCUGUCUGGUCUGUAACUGACGCUGAGGCUCGAAAGCAUGGGUAGCGAACAGGAUUAGAUACCCUGGUAGUCCAUGCCGUAAACGAUGAUUACUAAGUGUUGGAGGGUUUCCGCCCUUCAGUGCUGCAGCUAACGCAUUAAGUAAUCCGCCUGGGGAGUACGACCGCAAGGUUGAAACUCAAAAGAAUUGACGGGGGCCCGCACAAGCGGUGGAGCAUGUGGUUUAAUUCGAAGCUACGCGAAGAACCUUACCAGGUCUUGACAUCUUCUGCCAACCUAAGAGAUUAGGCGUUCCCUUCGGGGACAGAAUGACAGGUGGUGCAUGGUUGUCGUCAGCUCGUGUCGUGAGAUGUUGGGUUAAGUCCCGCAACGAGCGCAACCCUUAUUACUAGUUGCCAGCAUUCAGUUGGGCACUCUAGUGAGACUGCCGGUGACAAACCGGAGGAAGGUGGGGACGACGUCAAAUCAUCAUGCCCCUUAUGACCUGGGCUACACACGUGCUACAAUGGAUGGUACAACGAGUUGCGAAACCGCGAGGUUUAGCUAAUCUCUUAAAACCAUUCUCAGUUCGGACUGUAGGCUGCAACUCGCCUACACGAAGUCGGAAUCGCUAGUAAUCGCGGAUCAGCAUGCCGCGGUGAAUACGUUCCCGGGCCUUGUACACACCGCCCGUCACACCAUGAGAGUUUGUAACACCCAAAGCCGGUGGGGU
rnacentral:rRNA from 1 species